rnacentral:rRNA from 1 species
GUCCCCGCAAGGGGAUGAGUAAAGUGGCGACCGGGUGAGUAACACGUGACUAACCUACCUUCGAGUGGGGAAUAACCUCGGGAAACCGGGGCUAAUACCGCAUAACAUCGCAGCCGUAAGGGCGGCGAUCAAGGCAGCAAUGCGCUUGAAGAGGGGGUCGCGGCUGAUUAGCUAGUUGGUGAGGUAAUGGCUCACCAAGGCAGUGAUCAGUAUCCGGCCUGAGAGGGCGCACGGACACACUGGAACUGAAACACGGUCCAGACUCCUACGGGAGGCAGCAGUGGGGAAUUUUGCGCAAUGGGGGAAACCCUGACGCAGCAACGCCGCGUGGAGGAUGAAGUCCCUUGGGACGUAAACUCCUUUCGAACGGGACGAUUAUGACGGUACCGUAUGAAGAAGCCCCGGCUAACUUCGUGCCAGCAGCCGCGGUAAUACGAGGGGGGCAAGCGUUGUUCGGAAUUAUUGGGCGUAAAGGGCGCGUAGGCGGCGCGGUAUGUCUCUUGUGAAAUCUCCAGGCUCAACUUGGAGUCUGCAAGGGAAACUGCCGUGCUUGAGUACUGGAGAGGUGAGUGGAAUUCCCGGUGUAGCGGUGAAAUGCAUAGAUAUCGGGAGGAACACCUGUGGCGAAAGCGGCUCACUGGACAGUAACUGACGCUGAUGCGCGAAAGCUAGGGGAGCAAACAGGAUUAGAUACCCUGGUAGUCCUAGCCCUAAACGAUGGAUGCUUGGUGUGAUCGGUACCCAAUCCGAUCGUGCCGGAGCUAACGCGUUAAGCAUCCCGCCUGGGGAGUACGGUCGCAAGGCUG